AGGUUUUGUGUUCAGUCAGACGGCUCUCGUGUCCACAAGAUGCUCUCCACUGUCAACCAGACGGUCCUGGAACAUAAGCAGGCGCACAUGAAUCCACCUGCAGGACGGUGGGGAAGAUCAGCAAAUUGAGGUCAGGAGACUUAAAGCUGAGCUUGAUGAGAGGAGGAUUGAAGAGGAGGAGAUCCAGCUACUGUAUAUCGACCAGGCCUCAGUGACACAACAGCCGCUGGAAACCUGCUCAGUGCACUGAGGAGUUCUGAUUAUCAGUCAAGCAGAGAGCCAACAGACGAGGAGAAGACCGUCUGCUGAUGACCUCCCCGAG